ACGAAAAGUGAGGUGAGAUGAAUGUUUCUUUCAAAAGCGCAAAGAUGUCUAAAUGAAUAUUUAUAUAUUGUUCGUGCGCUUUUUUCCAUUUUUUCAGUUACAGGGGACAAGUCUGCCCAAAUUUUAGUAACUGAAUAAAUAUAAAUGGAAGAGAAGCAUGGAUCUCAUUGAGUAUAAAUAAAAUGAUGCCAGGCGCUUGUCGGCGUCUUUUU
rnacentral:sRNA from 1 species